rnacentral:rRNA from 1 species
GCCUGAUGCGCCAUGCCGCGUGUAUGAAGAAGGCCUUCGGGUUGUAAAGUACUUUCAGUUGUGAGGAAGGGGGUGUCGUUAAUAGCGGCAUCUCUUGACGUUAGCAACAGAAGAAGCACCGGCUAACUCCGUGCCAGCAGCCGCGGUAAUACGGAGGGUGCGAGCGUUAAUCGGAAUUACUGGGCGUAAAGCGCAUGCAGGUGGUUCAUUAAGUCAGAUGUGAAAGCCCGGGGCUCAACCUCGGAACUGCAUUUGAAACUGGUGAACUAGAGUACUGUAGAGGGGGGUAGAAUUUCAGGUGUAGCGGUGAAAUGCGUAGAGAUCUGAAGGAAUACCAGUGGCGAAGGCGGCCCCCUGGACAGAUACUGACACUCAGAUGCGAAAGCGUGGGGAGCAAACAGGAUUAGAUACCCUGGUAGUCCACGCCGUAAACGAUGUCUACUUGGAGGUUGUGGCCUUGAGCCGUGGCUUUCGGAGCUAACGCGUUAAGUAGACCGCCUGGGGAGUACGGUCGCAAGAUUAAAACUCAAAUGAAUUGACGGGGGCCCGCACAAGCGGUGGAGCAUGUGGUUUAAUUCGAUGCAACGCGAAGAACCUUACCUACUCUUGACAUCCAGAGAAGCCAGCGGAGACGCAGGUGUGCCUUCGGGAGCUCUGAGACAGGUGCUGCAUGGCUGUCGUCAGCUCGUGUUGUGAAAUGUUGGGUUAAGUCCCGCAACGAGCGCAACCCUUAUCCUUGUUUGCCAGCGAGUAAUGUCGGGAACUCCAGGGAGACUGCCGGUGAUAAACCGGAGGAAGGUGGGGACGACGUCAAGUCAUCAUGGCCCUUACGAGUAGGGCUACACACGUGCUACAAUGGCGCAUACAGAGGGCAGCGAACUUGCGAGAGUGAGCGAAUCCCAAAAAGUGCGUCGUAGUCCGGAUUGGAGUCUGCAACUCGACUCCAUGAAGUCGGAAUCGCUAGUAAUCGUAGAUCAGAAUGCUACGGUGAAUACGUUCCCGGGCCUUGUACACACCGCCCGUCACACCAUGGGAGUGGGCUGCAAAAGAAGUGGGUAGUUUAACCUUCGGGAGGACGCUCACCACUUUGUGGUUCAUGACUGGGGUGAAUCG